rfam:Schistosoma curassoni strain Dakar, Senegal genome assembly, scaffold: SCTD_scaffold0000495
AGCCUUCUAAAUCCGUGUCGAGAUUACGUCAGAUACCAGACCAUCAGGAUUAAUGAAGCUCCAAAGGCAGGUGAAGUG